UACGAAGGGGGCUAGCGUUGCUCGGAAUCACUGGGCGUAAAGCGCACGUAGGCGGGUCUUUAAGUCAGGGGUGAAAUCCCGGAGCUCAACUCCGGAACUGCCUUUGAUACUGAAGAUCUUGAGUUCGGGAGAGGUGAGUGGAACUGCGAGUGUAGAGGUGAAAUUCGUAGAUAUUCGCAAGAACACCAGUGGCGAAGGCGGCUCACUGGCCCGAUACUGACGCUGAGGCACGAAAGCGUGGGGAGCAAACAGG
rnacentral:rRNA from 1 species